AUUGAACGCUGGCGGCAUGCUUUACACAUGCAAGUCGAACGGUAACAGGCCUUCGGUUGCUGACUAGUGGCGAACGGUUGAGUAAUUCAUCGGAACGUACCCCGAGGUUGUUUAUAACGCAGCUAAAGCUGUGCUAAUACCGCAUGUGAUCUGAGGUUGAAAUCGGUGGACCGAGCAGCAUUGUUUGGCCUCGCGCCUUUGUAUCGGCCGAUUUCGGAUUAGCUAGUUGGUGGGGUAAAGGCCUACCAAGGCGACGAUCCGUAGCUGGUCUGAGAGGACGACCAGAGAGACUGGGAGUGAGAAACGGACAAGAAGACUAAGGGAGGGAGCAGUGGGGAAUAUUGGACAAUGGGCGCAAGCAUGAUACAGAAAAGCCGCGUGAGGGAAGAAGGACUUCGGGUUGUAAAACGCUUUUGGCAGGAACGAAAAGGUGUACGAUAAGACAGGGAGAUAAUGACGGUACCUGAAGAAUAAGCACCGGCUAACUACGUG
rnacentral:rRNA from 1 species